UUGAUUAACUUCUACAACUCCUAUAUACUUUUCUCUGAUUCUCCAGAUUCUAAUCGUAAUUCUGUAAUUAACCAUUUUUAAUAACUAAAUCACUCAUCCAACCUCCUGAAUUUCCUAUUAUAUGGACUAUUAAUAUAUUUUACCAAUAUCUUUCAAAAACAAAUUAAUAUCUAUUCUACAUAGCCCCACUUCUAUCUGUACAACGUCCUCGCAAACACUCAAUUGAUACCUAUCUAAAAAUUAUCU
rnacentral:lncRNA from 1 species